AAAGGUUCGCUUAGUCGCGAUUAAUUGGGAACAGGAGUGAGAAUCUCCGACUGUCCCGCAGCAGUGAACUCCAUUAUGGCCUUGAAACAGUGAAAGCCAUUGCCACUUUUAGGUGAGAAGGCGUUUCGGGGUGGAGGAAAGUCUGAAGACCAGCCUUUUUCG
rnacentral:ncRNA from 1 species